GAUGAACGCUGGCGGCGUGCCUAAUACAUGCAAGUCGAGCGAACAGAUGAGGAGCUUGCUCCGCUGACGUUAGCGGCGGACGGGUGAGUAACACGUGGAUAACCUACCUAUAAGACUGGGAUAACUUCGGGAAAGCGGAGCUAAUACCGGAUAAUAUAUUGAACCGCAUGGGUCAAUAGUGAAAGACGGUUUUGCGGUCACGUAUAGAUGGAUCCGCGCCGCAUUAGCGGGUUGGUAAGGUAACGGCUUACCAAGGCAACGAUGCGUAGCCGCACUGAGAGGGUGACCAGCCGCCCUGGGAGUGGGACACGGUCCAGAGGCCUACGGGAGGCAGCAGUAGGGAAUCUUCCGCAAAGGGCGGAAGACUGACGGAGAAACGCCGCGUGAGUGAUGAAGGUCUUCGGAUCGUAAAACUCUGUUAUUAGGGAGGAACAAAUGUGUAAGUAACUAUGCACGUCUUGACGGUACCUAAUCAGAGAGCCACGGCUAACUACGUG
rnacentral:rRNA from 1 species